rnacentral:rRNA from 1 species
GCUGGCGGCAUGCCUUACACAUGCAAGUCGAACGCGAAAGGGGGCAACCCCGAGUAGAGUGGCGAACGGGUGAGCAAUACAUCGGAACGUGUCCUGUAGCGGGGGACAACACAUCGAAAGAUGUGCUAAUACCGCAUACGAUCUACGGAUGAAAGUGGGGGACCGCAAGGCCCCACACUAUAGGAGCGGCCGAUGCCGGAUUAGCUAGUUGGUGGGGUAAUGGCCUACCAAGGCGACGAUCCGUAGCUGGUUUGAGAGAACGACCAGCCACACUGGGACUGAGACACGGCCCAGACUCCUACGGGAGGCAGCAGUGGGGAAUUUUGGACAAUGGGCGAAAGCCUGAUCCAGCCAUGCCGCGUGAGUGAAGAAGGCCUUCGGGUUGUAAAGCUCUUUCGGCCGGGACGAAAUGGCGCGGGCUAAUAUCCCGCGUCGAUGACGGUACCGGAAGAAGAAGGACCGGCUAACUACGUGCCAGCAGCCGCGGUAAUACGUAGGGUCCAAGCGUUAAUCGGAAUUACUGGGCGUAAAGCGUGUG